GACGAACGCUGGCGGCGUGCUUAACACAUGCAAGUCGAACGGAAAGGCCCUGCUUUUGUGGCUUGCUCGAGUGGCGAACGGGUGAGUAACACGUGAGUAACCUGCCCUUGACUUUGGGAUAUCUUCAGGAAACUGGGGCUAAUACCGGAUAGGAGCUCCUGCUGCAUGGUGGGGGUUGGAAAGUUUCGGCGGUUGGGGAUGGAGUAGAGGCUUAUCAGCUUGUUGGUGGGGUUGUGGAUUACCAAGGCUUUGAAGGGUAGCCGGCCUGAGAGGGUGACAGGGCACAGAGGGCUAGAGAUACGGCCCAGACUGCAACGGGAGGCAGCGGUGGGGAACAUUGCGAACUGGGCGGAAGCAUGGAGCAGGAACGCCGGGUGGGGGAAGACGGCUUUCGGGUUGUAAAACGCUUGCGCGUGUGACGACGCGUGAGGGACGUAAAUGGGUAAAGAAGCACGGGUUAAUUACGU
rnacentral:rRNA from 1 species